ACACCUCAACCCUUCAAUGUUUAUGCAUUGCAGGUGUUGGUAGUGAGCGUUGCCGGUCUUUGGAUCGGCUCGCUUUAAAAUCAUUAGCUGGAUCCAUUCUGACCUGGUUCUACUCGGCGUAAUAAGUUAUUAUCGUCGAGGACGUCUGGCCUUAUGGGCAGGCGGCCACAGUAAGGAUGUUUGAACCGCUUCCGACACGUCUUGCUCUUGUAGCAAACACUUGAACCU
rnacentral:misc_RNA from 1 species